rnacentral:lncRNA from 1 species
CCGACUCUAAUAAGCUCUUAUAAUUCAAAUGACUCUGAUAAAGAAAAGAAUAUUACAGCGGUUACCAUUUACAAAAGCUCCCCCACUUGACCAAUUUGCACAGAGAUUCAUUGUAUUCUCCCUCGCUCUCUCUCUUCACCCAAACCGCAUUCAAAGGUCUGAGCCUCUCGCCUCGAACAAAUCCAAUGAACACACAUGAAACUUUCCCUUAUAAAAACCAGCUAUCCCUCUCCAUUCAUAGUAAAUGCCUCCUUUAGAGUGAGAAAAGCCCCCUCUCUAGUAUGCUGAUCUAGAGAGAGAAAACCCAUCUUUCCUGAGAGAGAAAGGACAAGGCUCCUCAAGACCCAACUUUCCUAACAUUCUCCAAGAGGGAGAACAACCCAGUUUCUUAGAGAGAGAAGAAACCAAUUUCAGGUGGCCAAACUCUAGAGCGAGAAAAUUGGGUUACAUUGGAAGUGACUUUCUAGAGAGAGAAAAUGGUACCCAUUUUGAAUAUUGCAGAGAGUUGUCUCUCGUUUGCAGUAUCUGUGGUACUAAUCCUCUACCUUCUUCUGGUUAUAAUGGAGUCUUCAUGGAACAACAGGGCCUCAUGUUUACCACCUGAUUCUUGCUUCCCCGUUUCCGGCGAUUUGGUGGGAAGUUGGAGGCCUCUAUGGCCGGAAUCUGACCCACUUGCCGGAAAAUUGGUUAGAGCAAGCUCCCAAAUAGCUGAGAUUUUGAGAUAAGAGUUCUUAAACAGAGGCCUCUUUCUUGCCGGAAUCUGACAAAUCUCGCUGGAAAAAGCGAUUGGCUUUCCCCAUAUUUGGCCGGAAAGAUUAGAUGGGUUGCUUUCCCGAUAACCGUGGAGAAUUUCCGGCGAUUUCUUGCCCUUUGUAUGAUUAUGAUGAAAGGUUUUCGGGGACAAAAUUUGAGACUUUGAUGGACGGCGAGGAUGAGAGUCUGGGAGGCCGGGAAGGAAACCUGAGCUGUUGGAUCUCGAGAGGUUUGGCGAUGAACGAACGGCUGGAUUCAAUUUCGUGCGAUGCUGUGCGAGGGUUGUCUUUUUGUCUUUUUUAAUAUUAAGGGAUUAUCAUUUGUAUAUGGGCGACUGAGAUUCUAUAUUGUAAAUCUAUUAGAGAUCAGAACCGUCGGACGUAGUAAUAAGCCAUCUGAUGGACGGUCUCGAUUAUUUUAUUAUUUAAUUUGUCCCUUGCGAUUGAAUGGUUGAAAUGAAAUUGAUGUGCCUUUUUGUGGGUCCUACUAA